rnacentral:hammerhead_ribozyme from 1 species
AUCCAGCUGACGAGUCUCAAGUCGAAUGAAACGCUCGUCCUGGAU